rnacentral:rRNA from 1 species
AUUGAACGCUGGCGGCAGGCCUAACACAUGCAAGUCGAGCGAGCGGAGGACGGGUGAGUAAUGUAUGGGGACUGCCCGAUAGAGGGGGAAAACUACUGGAAACGGUGGCUAAUACCGCAUAAUGUCGGAUAACCCAUAGGGGAUUAGCUAGUAGGUAAGGUAAUGGCUUACCUAGGCGACGAUCCCUAGCUGGUCUGAGAGGAUGAUCAACCAAACUGGGACUGAGACACGGCCCAGACUCCUACGGAGGCAGAAGUGGGGAAUAUUGCACAAUGGGCGCAAGCCUGAUGCAGCCAUGCCGCGUGUAUGAAGAAGGCCCGAGGGUUGUAAAGUACUUUCAGUCGGGAGGCGUUACCGACAGAAGAAGCACCGGCUAACUCCGUGCCAGCCGCCGCGGUAAUUC